GCAUAUCAAUAAGCGGAGGAAAAGAAACCAACAGGGAUUGCCUCAGUAACGGCGAGUGAAGCGGCAUCAGCUCAAAUUUGAAAUCUGGCUUCGGCCCGAGUUGUAAUUUGUAGAGAAUGUUUCGGGCGUGGUCCGGUCUAAGUUCCUUGGAACAGGACGUCACAGAGGGUGAGAAUCCCGUGUGAUCGGGUGCCGCAGUCCAUGUGAAACUUCUUCGACGAGUCGAGUUGUUUGGGAAUGCAGCUCAAAAUGGGUGGUAAAUUUCAUCUAAAGCUAAAUAUUGGCCAGAGACCGAUAGCGCACAAGUAGAGUGAUCGAAAGAUGAAAAGCACUUUGGAAAGAGAGUUAAAUAGUACGUGAAAUUGUUGAAAGGGAAGCGCUUGCAACCAGACUUGCAUGCAGUUGAUCAUCCGGUGUUCUCACCGGUGCACUCGAUUGUAUUCAGGCCAGCAUCGGUUCUAGCGGUUGGAUAAAGGCUUUGGGAAUGUGGCUCCUCCGGGAGUGUUAUAGCCCAAGGUGCAAUGCAGCCUGCUGGGACCGAGGACCGCGCUUCGGCUAGGAUGCUGGCGUAAUGGUUGUAAGCGACCCGUCUUGAAACACGGACCAAGGAGUCUAACAUCUAUGCGAGUGUUUGGGUGUCAAACCCAUACGCGUAAUGAAAGUGAACGGAGGUGAGAGCUUCGGCGCAUCAUCGACCGAUCCUGAUGUCUUCGGAUGGAUUUGAGUAAGAGCAUAGCUGUUGGGACCCGAAAGAUGGUGAACUAUGCCUGAAUAGGGUGAAGCCAGAGGAAACUCUGGUGGAGGCUCGCAGCGGUUCUGACGUGCAAAUCGAUCGUCAAAUUUGGGUAUAGGGGCGAAAGACUAAUCGAACCAUCUAGUAGCUGGUUCCUGCCG
rnacentral:rRNA from 1 species